rnacentral:rRNA from 1 species
UACGGAGGGUGCGAGCGUUGUCUGGAAUCAUUGGGCGUAAAGGGCGCGUAGGUGGCCCGGUCAGUUCGUGGUGAAAGCGCGGGGCUCAACCCUGCGUCGGCCAUGAAUACUGCCGCGGCUGGAGCACUGUAGAGGCAGGCGGAAUUCCGGGUGUAGCGGUGGAAUGCGUAGAGAUCCGGAAGAACACCGGUGGCGAAGGCGGCCUGCUGGGCAGUUGCUGACACUGAGGCGCGACAGCGUGGGGAGCAAACAGG